rnacentral:tRNA from 1 species
AGUUAAGUGAUACAAAUAUAAGCUUCUAACUUAAUUUUUAAGCAGUGGAACUCUGUUUUUAACUCUA